GUAGUGACGAAAAAUAACGAUGCAGAACUCAAUCCGAGGCUCUGCAAUCGGAAUGAGAACACUCUAAAUCAUUUAACGAGUAUCCAUUGGAGGACAAGUCUGGUGCCAGCACCCGCGGUAAUUCCAGCUCCAAUAGCGUAUAUUAAAGUUGUUGCGGUUAAAAAGCUCGUAGUUGGAUCUGUGUUCCACGCUGUCGGUUCACCGUAUGUCGGUGUUUAACUGACAUGCCGUGGUACGUCCUGCUGGUUGGUGGCGUGGUUCGGCUUAACGGCCUGGGCUGCGUCUACCAGUUCCAAUCCUGUCGCGGUGCUCUUCGUUGAGUGUCGAGGCGGGCCAGCACGUUUACCUUGAACAAAUUUGAGUGCUCAAAGCAGGCUUUAAUUGCCGGAAAAUCGUGUGCAUGGAAUAAUAUAAUAGGACUGCGGUUCUAUUUUGUUGGUUUUCAGAAUCCGCCGUAAUGAUUAAUAGGGACUGGCGGGGGCAUUAGUAUUGCGACGUUAGAGGUGAAAUUCUUGGAUCGUCGCAAGACUAACCUAAGCGAAAGCAUUUGCCAAGGAUGCUUCCAUUAAUCAAGAACGAAAGUUAGAGGUUCGAAGGCGAUCAGAUACCGCCCUAGUUCUAACCAUAAACGAUGCCAGCCAGCGAUCCGACGGCGUUCUUAUAUGACCCGUCCGGCAGCUUCCGGGAAACUAAAGCAUUUGGGUUCCGGGGGAAGUAUGGUUGCAAAGCUGAAACUUAAAGGAAUUGACGGAAAGGCACCACCAGGAGUGGAGCCUGCGGCUUAAUUUGACUCAACACGGGAAAUCUCACCAGGCCAGAACACCAGGUGGAUUGACAGAUUGAUAGCUCUUUCUUGAUUUGGUGGGUGGUGGUGCAUGGCCG
rnacentral:rRNA from 1 species